UACGGGAGGCAGCAGUGGGGAAUAUUGCACAAUGGGCGCAAGCCUGAUGCAGCCAUGCCGCGUGUAUGAAAAAGGCCUUCGGGUUGUAAAGUACUUUCAGUCGUGAGGAAGGUGUUAAGGUUAAUAACCUUAACAAUUGACGUUAGCGACAGAAGAAGCACCGGCUAACUCCGUGCCAGCAGCCGCGGUAAUACGGAGGGUGCGAGCGUUAAUCGGAAUUACUGGGCGUAAAGGGCACGCAGGCGGUUAAUUAAGUUGGAUGUGAAAUCCCCGGGCUUAACCUGGGAAUGGCAUUCAAGACUGGUUAGCUAGAGUCUUGUAGAGGGGGUAGAAUUCCAUGUGUAGCGGUGAAAUGCGUAGAGAUGUGGAGGAAUACCGGUGGCGAAGGCGGCCCCUGGACAAAGACUGACGCUCAUGUGCGAAAGCGUGGGGAGCAAACAGGGAUUAGAUACC
rnacentral:rRNA from 1 species